rnacentral:rRNA from 1 species
AUUGAACGCUGGCGGCAUGCCUUACACAUGCAAGUCGAACGGCAGCACGGGAGCAAUCCUGGUGGCGAGUGGCGAACGGGUGAGUAAUGUAUCGGAACGUACCUUUCAGUGGGGGAUACCGUAGCGAAAGUUACGCUAAUACCGCAUAUUCUGUGAGCAGGAAAGCAGGGGAUCGCAAGACCUUGCGCUGAUUGAGCGGCCGAUAUCAGAUUAGCUAGUUGGUGAGGUAAAGGCUCACCAAGGCGACGAUCUGUAGCGGGUCUGAGAGGAUGAUCCGCCACACUGGAACUGAGACACGGUCCAGACUCCUACGGGAGGCAGCAGUGGGGAAUUUUGGACAAUGGGCGCAAGCCUGAUCCAGCCAUGCCGCGUGAGUGAAGAAGGCCUCGG